rnacentral:lncRNA from 1 species
UUUAAACUCUGACUCCUGGUUUUACUUAUGAAUUAACACGGAUUUUAUUACAUGUAAUAUGCUUCCAAGAAUAUAUCAAUGAAUUCAUACAUAUUAAAUUUGUAGUUCAUGCCACGAGAUUAUGAACCAAACAUUUAUAUUGCACGAACUACAACAAACAAUAAGAACCCAGACAAUGCAUAUAGAUAACCUAUUUUUCUAAUCUGCAAUCUCUUUUGCAGAUGAUGUAAUUCAUCACGGUGUAACUGAUCAUUCCGCGUAUCUCGACUUUUUCACCACAUCAAUGGGAGACACAACGAUUUGUUUUGGAACAUCCAUGUGCUUUCGCUUGUUCACUAAUCCUAAUUCAAACAAAAUCAAUGAGAGUAACUUACAAUGAUUCAUAACUACUCAAUGCUAUCAAAUACAUAUCAUUUCAAUUUACACACAAAGCACUUAUUAAAAGUCACAAUAUAAAUACCUCUGAAUCUUCAAUAUCAAUACAGCCAACUAAAAGAUUAAAUUAAAAAUCAGUUCAGUUUCAAAAUUUAUUCAACUCACAUAUUCAGAAAAUACAAUUCAUACAAAAAUAAAAAACUAUUAUAAGCAGCCUUAAAUAAUUCAAAUUCAGUUCAGUUUCACAAUUGCUUUAAUUCACAUAUUGAGAAAGAAAAAAAAUCAUACAUAAUCAAUAGGAAAUAUAAGCAUCCUUAACAAUUUCAACAUCGGUUCAGUUUCAAAAUUGCAAUAAUUCACAUAUUCAGAAAAUACAGUUCAUACAUAACCAAUAGCCAACAUAAGCAUCCUUACAUAAUUCGAAUUCGAAUUUUGUCGACCACACAAUAAAAUUAUUUAACAACCAAAAAAGGAACCUAGAAAACGACACAUGGGUGUGGUGAUAUUUUGAUAAAAAAAAAAAAAAGAAGAAGAAGAGAGAGCCGAAUCAUAAACUCUUUGCAAUAAUGUACAUACAAUGAAAUUCGAACAAAAAAAUCAUCAAAUCAAAGAACACAGAACCAAGAACCUUAAUAUUUAUAAAAAGUAAAUCUGAAAAAUGCAAAUUAGUUCCAGAUCGACGACGACAAUGAAAAAAUUAAAACUCACCAAGGGUUUUAAGGUUUGCUUUCGCCAUUCCCAACCAAACCUUCACUGCUAUAGUGCUUAGGGGUGGUAAUCGGUUCGGUUCGGUUAUAACCGAACCGAUUUUCCGGUUAACCGGAACCGAUUAACCUUAAAAUUGCUAACCGAAAACCAAAUCGAUUUUGGGUCCGGUUAACCGAUUAACCGGUCCGGUUAACCGGGCCGGUUAAUCGGUUAACCGAAUUAACCGAUUUAAACUGGGCAUUGGGCAUAAUUACUGAAAGGGAUCGAGUUCAUGCAUUUCUUGUGUUUCCACCCUCGAUCAUACAUUAUAACUAUUUCCUUUUCCAUCAUAUACCAAAUCACCAGUAGUGUGUUUCCUUUUCCAUACAUUCUAACUGUUUCCUUUUAGUGUAGUAAUAUUUAAAAGAUUGAUACUGAUUAAGAUACAAAUAAGGCUUCAAUAAAAUUUAAACCUUAUAUUCAUAUUUCAAUGGUGCUUCUGUUCGAUCAUUAAUUAAUAUCCAAUUCUAUCUUAUGAAUUUCACUUAUUAAUAUUCAUCGAUAUAUCAUUAAUAUUCAUAUUUCAUCCGAUUGCUUUAGAAAAGUUGAAAACCCAGCCCUACAAUAAUUAUUAAUAAAAUAGUAUAGUAUUUAAUUAAUAUGGGUUUAUGGCUAAACCGGUUAAUUCGGUUUUAACCGGUCGGUUACCGGUUAAACCGAAUAACCGGUUUUUCUAAAAUCUAAUAACCGAUAACCGCACUGAACCGGUCAAAACAGGUUAUCGAUUAACCGAUUAAUCGGUAUUCCGGUUCGGUUACGGUUAUAACCGAAUAACCGAAACCGUUUUACCACCCCUAAUAGUGCUCGACUCUAUUAAGGUGCUUUGUGGUAUGAAUCCUUGUUAAGGUUUUAGCAAAAAAUAUCAAUUCCACCGCAGAGAGGGGAGAAGACGGCGACUACGAAAAAAGAAGACCAAACUUGAAUUGCGAAUCCUUUCGACGCCGAUUCUCCUUUGCAAUCAUUUCAUGAUUUAUUUCCAUUUAAAAUGAACACUAAUAUCGAGGCUGUGUUUGUU